GAUGAACGCUGGCGGCGUGCCUAAUACAUGCAAGUCGAGCGAACGGACGAGAAGCUUGCUUCUCUGAUGUUAGCGGCGGACGGGUGAGUAACACGUGGAUAACCUACCUAUAAGACUGGGAUAACUUCGGGAAACCGGAGCUAAUACCGGAUAAUAUUUUGAACCGCAUGGUUCAAAAGUGAAAGACGGUCUUGCUGUCACUUAUAGAUGGAUACGCGCUGCAUUAGCUAGUUGGUAAGGUAACGGCUUUCCAAGGCAACGAUGCAUAGCCGACCGGAGAGGGUGGUAGGCCACACUGGAACUGAGACACGGACCAGACUCCUGCGGGAGGCAGCAGUAGGGAAUCUUCCGCAAUGGGCGAAAGCCUGACGGAGCAACGCCGCGUGAGUGAUGAAGGUCUUCGGAUCGUAAAACUCUGUUAUUAGGGAAGAACAUAUGUGUAAGUAACUGUGCACAUCUUGACGGUACCUAAUCAGAAAGCCACGGCUAACUACGUG
rnacentral:rRNA from 1 species